GACGAACGCUGGCGGCGUGCCUAACACAUGCAAGUCGAGCGAUGAAAUCCCUUCGGGGAUGGAUUAGCGGCGGACGGGUGAGUAACACGGGGGUAACCCGCCUCAAAGAGGGGGAUAGCCUCCCGAAAGGGAGAUUAAUACCGCAUAAUCUUAGUUUGUCGCAUGGAGAACUAAUUAAAGGAGUAAUCCGCUUUGAGAUGGACCCGCGGCGCAUUAGCUAGUUGGUGAGGUAAAGGCUCACCAAGGCGACGAUGCGUAGCCGACCUGAGGGGGUGAUCGGCCACAUUGGAACUGAGAUACGGUCCAGACUCCUACGGGAGGCAGCAGUGGGGAAUAUUGCACAAUGGGCGAAAGCCUGAUGCAGCAACGCCGCGUGAGUGAUGAAGGCCUUCGGGUUGUAAAGCUCUGUCUUUGGGGACGAUAAUGACGGUACCCAAGGAGGAAGCCACGGCUAACUACGUGCCAGCCGCCGCCGUAAGAC
rnacentral:rRNA from 1 species